rnacentral:rRNA from 1 species
GUGAGGAAUAUUGGUCAAUGGGCGAGAGCCUGAACCAGCCAAGUCGCGUGAAGGAAGAAGGAUCUAUGGUUCGUAAACUUCUUUUGCAGGGGAAUAAAGUGCAGGACGUGUCCUGUUUUGUAUGUACCCUGAGAAUAAGGAUCGGCUAACUCCGUGCCAGCAGCCGCGGUAAUACGGAGGAUCCGAGCGUUAUCCGGAUUUAUUGGGUUUAAAGGGUGCGUAGGUGGUUUGAUAAGUCAGCGGUGAAAGUUUGCAGCUUAACUGUAAAAAUGCCGUUGAAACUGUCGGACUUGAGUGUAAAUGAGGUAGGCGGAAUGCGUGGUGUAGCGGUGAAAUGCAUAGAUAUCACGCAGAACUCCGAUUGCGAAGGCAGCUUACUAAGCUACAACUAACACUGAAGCACGAAAGCGUGGGGAUCAAACAGGAUUAGAUACCCUUGUAGUCC